UCUGCCCCUAGAGGCUUUGCAGGUGUGGCUGCUGUGUCACAUGUGCAUCAGUAGGUGGCAGAGAGAAGAGAGAGAGACUAUGUCCUUGCUCAGUGUUCUGAGAUUUAGACAUCUGAAUGAUUAGUGCUCUAACAUU
rnacentral:snoRNA from 1 species